rnacentral:tRNA from 1 species
GCCCGAGUAGCUCAGGGAGAAGAGCACCCGCCUUGUAAGCGGUAGGCCACUGGUUCGAAUCCAGUCGCGGGCACCA